CGGGUGAGUAACACGUGGACAAUCUGCCCCCCGGUCCGGGAUAGCCCAGGGAAACCUGGAUUAAUACCGGAUGAGACGGGACCCGCGAUGGCGGGAUCUGGGAAAGGCGCUACGGCGCCGCCGGGGGAUGAGUCUGCGUCCCAUUAGCUAGACGGCGGGGUAACGGCCCACCGUGGCGACGAUGGGUAGCCGGCCUGAGAGGGUGGACGGCCACAUUGGAACUGAGACACGGUCCAGACUCCUACGGGAGGCAGCAGCUAAGAAUCUUCCGCAAUGGGCGAAAGCCUGACGGAGCGACGCCGCGUGAACGAAGAAGGCCGUGAGGUUGUAAAGUUCUUUUCGGGAGGGGGAACAACCGUGGCAGGGAAUGGCCGCGGGAUGACGUGAAUCCCGGAAUAAGCCCCGGCUAACUACGUGCCAGCAGCCGCGGUAACACGUAGGGGGCGAGCGUUGUUCGGAAUCAUUGGGCGUAAAGGGCGUGCAGGCGGUCCUGCAAGUCCGGCGUGAAAGACCCCGGCCCAACCGGGGGGACGCGCUGGAAACUGCGGGGCUUGAGUACAGGAGGGGAUGCCGGAAUUCCAGGUGUAGGGGUGAAAUCUGUAGAUAUCUGGAAGAACACCAAUGGCGAAGGCAGGCAUCUGGCCAUGUACUGACGCUGAGACGCGAAGGUGCGGGGAGCAAACAGGUUUAGAUACCCUGGUAGUCCGCACAGUAAACGAUGUGCACCAGGUGGCGGG
rnacentral:rRNA from 1 species